ensembl:lncRNA
CAAGCUGUUCCGUUCCACGCUCACAAGCAGAACACACACCUAAAACCACGCCUAGCCGGCUAUAGACAUGUACGUGUUGCCCAGCCCCCCCCCCCCCCCCAAUCAGCGCUUCCCUCGGUUAGAACUUCAUUUAAAGGAACAUCACAGCUCUUUGAGGAUGACUUUUGUUCCUUGUGGCUAGAGGGUUCUGACCCUGGUCCUGGUGGGUGCGGCCGCGGAACCAGAGGCCCCCCUGGAGAACAUCUAAUCUCAGGGUUGGGGAACCAGAGGCCCCCCUGGAGAACAUCUAGUCUCUGGGUUGGGGAACCAGAGGCCCCCCUGGAGAACAUCUAGUCUCUGGGUUGGAUUCUGUCAGAGAUACUGUAAGAGAUUCCCUACACUAUUGUGUAAUCCCAUGACUGUUACACUGGGUGAGACACGAGCUAAGGAAUACCUGGGGAGCGGACUGGACCGGCGUUAACUUCACGUGUGUAUGGGGAGGGGGAGCGGACUGGACCGGCGUUAACUUCACGUGUGUAUGGGGAGGGGGAGCAGACUGGACCGGGGUUAACUUCACGUGUGUGUGUGUGUGGAGCGGACUGGACCGGGGUUAACUACACGUGUGUGUGUGGGGAGCGGAGCGGACUGGACCGGGGUUAAACACACGUGUGUAUGGGGAUCGGACUAGACUGUGGUUAAAUACACGUGUGUGUAUGGGGUGGAGAAAUGAAAUUCCUUAGAAGAGAAAAAAAGUGCAUAUUAUUAAAAAAAAAAAAAAAAAAAAAAAAAAAAAAAGAGAAAUAAGUAAAACCAAAACAUCCUGGAAGUAUUUGAGCGAUGAUGCCUUCCGGUGAUUAUUCAGUCCAGAUACGUCUUUCAGAAGCAGCAGCAGCAAAAGGUGAUUGUGGUUAACUACAGUAUAAUCUUGCAGUGUGAUUAACAUGUUUUAAGGAUUGGCAUCUCAUACCCCACUGUGGGCGCCCGCCCCCCCCGCCCCCCGCCCCCUGCCCCCCGCCCACAGACUCACUCUGCUCAGGGCAAUCAAGUAUCCAUUACACAUCUUACCCCAGAACACAAUUACCUUAUCAUUUACUUAGCGCUGUGUGCUACACACAUCAAAUCGGAGAGAGGGGAAGAAACUACUCCUGCGGAGAAUCGCUCAAACCCUCACACACACACACACACACACACACACAACUCUGCCCUGAGCCACGGAUGUGUGUGUGUGGCGUCCCUCGGAUACCUCCCAUCACCUACGCAUCGCUACGGUAACAGGCGGCACGACGACACGCACCACUUGUCUCCUAGGGGAAACCGGGGGAAAGACUGAUACUGCGUCUAACAGCGUGGCUGCAGUCAGGAGAGAGCACGGCGCCACCUGCUGGCGGGAGGACUGAUGUACAGGACGCUGCCAUGAGAUGUAUGAAGGUCCAAAACACAGGAUGUGGGCCGUGAGCGACUGAGCGAUAAAGAUGAGUACAACCCCCACCCCUAACCCUACCCCCUCUCCCCCCCACCCCUUUAAAAAGAAAGACCUUUAGGAGCAUCUGAGGUUGUUUAAUACCUAAAGCCCACCUCUGGGGGGCGAUAAAGGUUUUUUUGGCUCUACAGUCCAGCCGAUAGCGCGGCAUGUUAUUCACUAGUGAAUGAGUGUGUUGACACACACAAGCCUGAGUACACUGUGUGUGUGUGUGUGUGUGUGUGUGUGUGUGUGUGUGUGUGUAGCUAUGGCUGGAAGGAUAAUUGCCUGCAUGCCCUCCCACCCAACUUAACCCCCCUGGAAAGAGGCCACAGCCCCUCUACCCCCCACAUGGGCAGCGGCGAGCCAAUCAGAGCUCUUCCUGCUCUACCCGACUCCCAUGUUGUCAUUUACCUAAACCAACAUCGUCACGACAACCAGACGCCCCUACCCUCCCCCUCCCCUUACAGACACAUAGGGCAUUGGAGAGAGGUGUGUGUUUAUGUGUGUGUGUGUGUGUGUGUGUGUGUGUGUGUGUGUGUGUGUGCGUGUGUGCGUGUACAUGUGUGUGUUGCAACACCUCUCCCCCACUAUCAGGGAAGUUCAGUACAGACAUGGAUGAGUUCCUUGCCAUCCUCCUGCAAGCGGACCUACACACACACACACACACACACACACACACACACACACACACACACACACACACACACACACACACACACACACACACACACACGGAGAAAAGAA